GAUGAACCUCACUUGUGGGGGGAUUAGUGGCGAACGGGUGAGUAACACGUGAGUAACCUGCCCUUGACUCUGGGAUAAGCCUGGGAAACCGGGUCUAAUACUGGAUACGACCUUCUGGCGCAUGCCAUGUUGGUGGAAAGCUUUUGUGGUUUUGGAUGGACUCGCGGCCUAUCAGCUUGUUGGUGGGGUAAUGGCCUACCAAGGCGACGACGGGUAGCCGGCCUGAGAGGGUGACCGGCCACACUGGGACUGAGACACGGCCCAGACUCCUACGGGAGGCAGCAGUGGGGAAUAUUGCACAAUGGGCGCAAGCCUGAUGCAGCGACGCCGCGUGAGGGAUGAAGGCCUUCGGGUUGUAAACCUCUUUCAGUAGGGAAGAAGCCGGCCUUUGGGUUGGUGACGGUACCUGCAGAAGAAGCGCCGGCUAACUACGUGCCAGCAGCCGCGGUAAUACGUAGGGCGCAAGCGUUAUCCGGAAUUAUUGGGCGUAAAGAGCUCGUAGGCGGUUUGUCGCGUCUGCCGUGAAAGUCCGGGGCUUAACCCCGGAUCUGCGGUGGGUACGGGCAGACUAGAGUGCAGUAGGGGAGACUGGAAUUCCUGGUGUAGCGGUGAAAUGCGCAGAUAUCAGGAGGAACACCGAUGGCGAAGGCAGGUCUCUGGGCUGUAACUGACGCUGAGGAGCGAAAGCAUGGGGAGCGAACAGGAU
rnacentral:rRNA from 1 species